UAGGAAAGAAAAAAAGAAUGGAAAAACUCACAGGAGCAGGGUUCAUCUGGAGGGUGAACAUAGCAAGAUUACAGGAUUAUGCCUCAGCAAUCCAAACUCUCAGAUGAAUCAAAGUUGGACAAGCUCUCUCUGACCAAUCAGCAGAGGUGGACCGGAGCACAAGUCUCCAAGACAACUCAACAGAGUAGGACUCAUCAGAACCUCUCAGCAGACCAACGGACCAAUCAGCAGAAACAGACUAUAGCAGAAGCUUAUCUGACCAAUCAGCAGAGAUGGACAACAGCUGAAGCCUCUCUCCCCUGAGAACCUUGGAGCAGAAGGUACGUAAUUCAAUUGGUCCAAAAAGAGAAAAGGAUAGUAUGAACGACAAAAAGGGGCAGGCAAACCACAAUGGUCAGGAUUUUAGCUGCAUGCUCACUGUUGGCUGCAACACAUAACGUACCAGCAUGCCAGAGCUCCCAGAAGAUUUGUGCUAUGCUAUGCUUUGAAGUCCUAGCAGUUAUUUAUUAUCUGAAGCCAAACUGUCAACAGAUUUUUUUGUCCAGUCACCAGUGGCUGUGUAAAAUUGACACUGCAUGUCAUGCAUCAGGGAAUUCAGACUUUAUCAACAUCAGAAAAUCCUAGCAGUAUGACUGAGUGUGCUCCUUACGGCUUUGUUCUGAUUGGAGAAAACCACAUGUACACAUCCCAACACUGGAACUGAAGCCAUAAAAAGAUUUACAAUGUUUAUUGGGAUUUCUUAAUUCGGGAUUAAACUGUAAAAAUCCUAUAUUUUCAAUUAUACAAUUAUACAUGUCCUAAUAAUUCUUGAAUUAAUUGGUAUACAAGUUGAAUCUGGUUGACGAAGACAACCGUUAGUUAUUUUUACAGAGCUGACAGAGUAAUCCCUUCUACAUGUACAAAUGGUUAGCAAAAACAUACAUGCAUACAUACUUUUUACAAAACCACAAAGCAUCCCAUUGUGCCUCAGGAACCCAGUAUCACUAUCUCUGCAAAAUAUAAGCAUAGUGCUGUACAAAAUAAAUAUC